ACGCUGGCGGCGUGCCUAAUACAUGCAAGUCGAACGGCUUUUCUAUGGAAGCUUGCUUCCAACGUGAGAAGAUAGUGGCGAACGGGUGAGUAACACGUGGGUAACCUGCCCAUAAGAGGGGGAUAACAUCCGGAAACGGGUGCUAAUACCGCAUAGUUUUCUUGAUCGCAUGAUUGAGAAAGGAAAGACGGCCUUUGUGCUGUCGCUUAUGGAUGGACCCGCGGCGUAUUAGUUAGUUGGUGAGGUAACGGCUCACCAAGACGAUGAUACGUAGCCGACCUGAGAGGGUGAUCGGCCACAUUGGGACUGAGACACGGCCCAAACUCCUACGGGAGGCAGCAGUAGGGAAUCUUCCGCAAUGGACGAAAGUCUGACGGAGCAACGCCGCGUGAGUGAAGAAGGUUUUUUCGGAUCGUAAAACUCUGUUGUCAGAGAAGAACAAGUUGGAGAGUAACUGCUCCAGCCUUGACGGUAUCUGACCAGAAAGCCACGGCUAACUACGUGCCAGCAGCUGC
rnacentral:rRNA from 1 species